UAGGACGUUUGACUCCUGGCUCAGGACGAACGCUGGCGGCGUGCUUAACACAUGCAAGUCGAACGGAAAGGCCCUGGCUUUUGUGGGGUGCUCGAGUGGCGAACGGGUGAGUAACACGUGAGUAACCUGCCCUUGACUUUGGGAUAACUUCAGGAAACUGGGGCUAAUACCGGAUAGGAGCUCCUGCUGCAUGGUGGGGGUUGGAAAGUUUCGGCGGUUGGGGAUGGACUCGCGGCUUAUCAGCUUGUUGGUGGGGGUAGUGGCUUACCAAGGCUUUGACGGGUAGCCGGCCUGAGAGGGUGACCGGCCACAUUGGGACUGAGAUACGGCCCAGACUCCUACGGGAGGCAGCAGUGGGGAAUAUUGCACAAUGGGCGGAAGCCUGAUGCAGCAACGCCGCGUGCGGGAUAACGGCCUUCGGGCUGUAAACCGCUUUCGCCUGUGACGAAGCGUGAGUGACGGUAAUGGGUAAAGAAGCACCGGCUAACUACGUG
rnacentral:rRNA from 1 species